rnacentral:rRNA from 1 species
CCUACGGGUGGCAGCAGUGGGGAAUAUUGCGCAAUGGGCGAAAGCCUGACGCAGCGACGCCGCGUGAGGGAUGAAGGUCUUCGGAUCGUAAACCUCUGUCAGCAGGGAAGAACGGUCACUGUGCUAAUCAGCAGUGAAUUGACGGUACCUGCAAAGGAAGGACCGGCGAACUCCGUGCCAGCAGCCGAGGUAAUACGGCGGGUGCGAGCGUUAAUCGGAAUUACUGGGCGUAAAGCGCUGGGAGGCGGUAUGUCAAGUAAAGGGGGAAAUCCCCGCGGUUAACGUGGGAACUGCCUUUGAAACUGGCAAACUGGAGUUGGUGAGAUGAUAGUGGAAUUCCAUGUGUAGCAG